CCGGUCGUGUUUUCUGGUUUCCUCCUCUCUGGAAGAGUUGUCUGGAUGUGGGAAGAACAGCAAGAGCACUUCCUACUACCGCAGAUGUGGUUCGACGGCGAUUUUGUGAAUAAUCACAGUGUGCUCCCCUCUGGGGACUUGGACGGAUGGCUCUGAUGUAACUGGAGCUCUUGCAAGUUGCCGAUUUCUUUUCAGUCCGAAGAAUUACAUUAGCAUAAUGCGAUUCCUUCUGGAAAAACUUGGCUUUGCUUUGUUAGAAUCUCAUCAGUUGGCGAAGACAUUCAAGCUGCAUGGCAAAGUUCACAGUUUUGGGGGGUCGGCCAAACGGACCAAAGUGUGUUUUGUAGUGUGUUCCACCAGUAGUGACAAACGAAUCAGUCAAUCGCGAGGGCGCGAAACGAAACCGAACAGAACGCAGCAACGAGAGUUCAUACACGGCACAUUGCCUUCCAUAACCGAAACAGUGAGCGGAUCUUGUUGUGUGGAUUUUAUUUUCCUUUGUUCAGAAAAAGACGAAAAAACAGACCCCACAUUGCACGCCGAUGGUUUUGGGGGGCACCAGCAGGGCAGCAACAGCUGUGCCUGGAGCUUGGCGUGGCGCGGAGGCGUGCAACCAGUGAGUGCGACAACAAUCAGGCAACCAACCGAACCAAGCAGGAGAACACAAAGAGCCGGUUCGGUACAAUUUCACCGAAAGCCAUUUCACGGCAUAGUGCUAUAAAGUCAACAUGAAUUAAUGAUAUCAUUGCCUUCAAAGAUCAAAAGAAUGCUUUUUUGUUACAAGAGACAACCGCAAACUCACUGGCAACGUAGACCACUACAUUUAUGGAAACUCGUUCCACGUGAAUGUAACCGAAGAAUUCCCAGGAAGAGUACCCCAUAGCGCAGCAUCAGUUAAUUAUAAUACCAGAGGAGUUUUUCGCUGAUUCUGCAACUUCAAGAGCACCCACGACAUCGCCGGCGACCGAGACACGACAUCGACGAUGGUCUUCAAUAAUGUUUUGCUGAUGCCACUCUGCCGCUCUGGAAAGCGGGAUAGUGACGCAUCAUCAGCCCCAAGGAUCAUCUUCCUCUGCCCACCAAGUAGAUAUCUGGCCUUCUACUCUCGAAUAAGUGACCCUCCCCCCUUCAUCCUCCAGUACAGACGCAGUUGCGGAUGAUGAUGGAGGAAACAAUUCUCGACGAUGAUAGUAGAAUACUGACGAUUGUCACCCGUUUUCGCUGCGAUGUCGACGGAUGUUGCGGUGGCGGACGUGGAGAAUGGGGAUUGUCUCGUGACUUGGUGCCUUACUGUCGACGAAUGUGGGUAUGCUGCCGGCUGGGAAGUCGGCGUUGAUCAUUUCCAGGGAAAAUGAAGCUUUGUGUGGCAUGAAGUCAUGAAGGGAAUGCGAACUCGAUGGCUUCCAGUCUGCCGUUCAGCGAGAGAUGAAAGUUGCUGGAAAAACGAUUUAUUUGUCGUUUAAAGUUAGUUUUAAUAGUCGAGUUGUAACACGAUUGAAACAUUUAAGACCGAAUAUCAAACGUUGAACUAGAGUCAUAGCCUGAUCAUGAAGAAUGUUGCAUAUUCCCGUACGAACUCUUUGCCAAGGGAAUUAUAGUUAUAUGCUUGUUCACUGGUUCAGUGGAAAGAUUUAUUUUAAUAUGAGCUAUCGAAUGGUUUCUAUUGUAUGUAUACUGGACUGCAGCCAAGACAACAUCGACUCGGGAUUGGGCUAAUAAGAGAGUCAAUAAUCGUUUAUUUUCCCUCAAAGUGAAGAAAAAUGAACCCAUUUGGCAAAUUGUGAUCCGCUGGAAGUAUGAACCAUUUCGCUGCCUGCCAAGCAUUGAAAUUGAAUCUCGAUUACAAUAAUGAACUCCAAACGUUGGAGAUGUGUUAAAGCAUUGUCCUAAACUGUAUCUUGCGGCACAAUACAUAAGAUUGAUUAUUUUACUAAUAUCUAGGACAAUUCCA